rnacentral:rRNA from 1 species
UACGGAGGGGACUAGCGUUGUUCGGAAUUACUGGGCGUAAAGCGCACGUAGGCGGAUUUGUAAGUUAGGGGUGAAAUCCCGGGGCUCAACCUCGGAACUGCCUUUGAUACUGCAAAUCUCGAGUCCGGAAGAGGUGAGUGGAAUUCCUAGUGUAGAGGUGAAAUUCGUAGAUAUUAGGAAGAACACCGGUGGCGAAGGCGGGUCACUGGGCCGAUACUGACGCUGAGGAGCGAAAGCGUGGGGAGCGAACAGG